UACGUAGGGUGCGAGCGUUGUCCGGAAUUAUUGGGCGUAAAGAGCUCGUAGGCGGUCUGUCGCGUCGGCUGUGAAAACUCGGGGCUCAACCCCGAGCCUGCAGCCGAUACGGGCAGACUAGAGUUCGGCAGGGAAGACUGGAAUUCCUGGUGUAGCGGUGAAAUGCGCAGAUAUCAGGAGGAACACCGGUGGCGAAGGCGGGUCUCUGGGCCGAUACUGACGCUGAGGAGCGAAAGCGUGGGGGAGCGAACAGG
rnacentral:rRNA from 1 species